rnacentral:rRNA from 1 species
UACGUAGGGGGCAAGCGUUGUCCGGAAUCAUUGGGCGUAAAGCGCGUGUAGGCGGCUCGGUAAGUCUGCUGUGAAAGUCCAGGGCUCAACCCUGGGAUGCCGGUGGAUACUGUCGAGCUCGAGUCCGGAAGAGGCGAGUGGAAUUCCCGGUGUAGCGGUGAAAUGCGCAGAUAUCGGGAGGAACACCAAUGGCGAAGGCAGCUCGCUGGGACGGUACUGACGCUGAGACGCGAAAGCGUGGGGAGCAAACAGG